UUCAUAUUUAAUUAAAUUUUUAUAUUCAUUUUUUUAAAAAAAAUAAUUGUUAUUUUAGUAUUUUUUAUAGAAAAAAUAAUUAAUUUCACUUACUGAGAAGGCAAAUUUAAAAAUAUUUAAUAGUAGUUUAUAUAAUGUACCUUUUGCAUCAGGGUUGAUUAAAAUAAAUUAAUAAUCUUUAAGAUUCCCGAAAUUAAAAGAUAUUUAACAGUAUGAUUAUUAAUGUAAUAUAAUUAUAUUUAAUUCUGUUAAAGUAAUUAAAUGUUAUUCAGUUUUAAUAUAUCUGGUUUUUUAAUAAAUAGAUUUAAUCUAUAAUCUUAAAUCAACAUUUAAUUUAAUUAUUGAGUUUUUAAGGUUUAAAAGUUAUAGGGGAUAAUCUUUGUAACUUUUAUAUAAUUGUAUAUUUUUAUGAAAUUCUUUAGGCUUUAAAGUGGCCACUUAGUUUUAAAACUAAAUUUUUUAAAUUUUUAAUUUAAUUCAAAUUUAUUUUUUUAUUAAAAUUUAAUUUUUAAUUUUAUUAAAUUUUAAUAAUGAUUAAAUUAGUAUAGUUUACAUAUGUAUAUAUGAAUUCGGCAAUAACUGUUUUCGCCUGUUUAACAAAAACAUGGUUUUUAUGAAUUUUAAUUUAAGAUUUAGCCUGCCCUAUGAUAUUUUAAAUGGCCGCAGUAUCUUAACUGUGCAAAGGUAGCAUAAUCAUUUGUUUCUUAAUUGGAAUCUGGUAUGAAGGGCUGGACGAAAAACAAACUUUAUUUAUACGUUAAUUAAAAUUUAAUUUUUAUUUUAAAAAGAGUAAAUAAUUAUAAAAGACGAGAAGACCCUAUAGAACUUAACUAUCAUAUAUUUAAUUAAUUAUAUAUAUAAUAGUUCUGUUGGGGUGACACUAGGAUUAAUUUUACUCUUAGUAAUUUAAUUCAUUAAUUAAUGAUUUUUUUAUCCUUUAUUAUGGACAUAAGAUUAAGUUACCUUAGGGAUAACAGCGUAAUUAUUUUGGAGAGCUCUAAUCAAUAGAAUAUUUUGCGACCUCGAUGUUGGAUUAAAAUUAACUUAAGGUGUAGGAGCUUUAAAUGUUAGGUCUGUUCGACCUUUAAAAUUUUACAUGAUCUGAGUUCAGACCGGCGUGAGCCAGGUCGGUUUCUAUCUUUAAUUUUUAAAUAUUGUAGUACGAAAGGACCCUAUAUUUUUAAUUUUUUAAUAGAAUUUGAUGAAAUUU
rnacentral:rRNA from 1 species